AUCCGAACCUGCGAAACCUGAAAUUAAAUAAAUCCAAGGCCCUGUUGAAACAGGGACCAGAAACUCUUCGUUCGUCAUCAAAACUGGUCUGGAGCAGCGAUUGCAGUGCGUAAAAUGACAACAAACAACGAAUGACAACAUCAGCAACGAACGGAGAACGAAGGCAAAACGUCAACCUUUCAUCGACAAUCACGAGGGACAACCCAUUCGCUUCAUCGAGUUCAUCGAGACGGCAAUUCAUCGAGUCUAGUGCAACAAUCGUAUAAAACCUAACAGUUGUUUCGGAGCAAAUCAUAUGACAUCAUUGAAGAGGACAACUACCUGGUUUGCCGAGAAUGGACAGAAAUAAGACUUCUGGGGGGCCAGGAUGUUUGUACAAACCGAAAUUAUCAACGCUACCUGUUCGUCAGAUGCAGAAAUCACCCAAUUAGGUCAACUCUGUUCUAAACGGAUCAUAAUGGCCCAAUUUGACAGUUGCCUCCUACACGUUCCGGGACAACCUACUUCCGAUGGAUCACCUAUAAAAGACCUCGAGAAAGCAAAAGAAGCCCUCUUUUUACCUUUGUUUUGCUCAGUGCGAAGAAUGUGAAUUAUAGUGCAAGAAAUAUAUUAAUUAGUUACCAGUAAAAUGAACCUAUAUUAAUAAAGUGAACUAAAACGUAAAAUUGAAAUCGUAAAACUGAAGUGAUGUGAAGAAGUAUUACUUACCUGCAUGUGAACCUGAAAGGAAAAACUAAACUUACCUGUGACCGAAGAAAUCUGCUGAAGAAACACUUACCUGAUAAAUCUGC